AGACUGCGCAUGCCAUUAACGAUGAAGCAGGAAGUCAUCUUUCUCUGUGGAAGAACAACGAAGGAGGACGCAUGGAGGUUGUAUGCGCUCGCACCAAUAUUAUUAUUAUUAUUUGCAACAACUUGUUGAGUUCCCCGUUCAGGCAACAGCGUUCAUGGACUUGAAGGGUGUUGAAGGAUCCAGACACUGAUGCAUCCUUUGUUGUACUGGAGUUUUUCUUUUGGGGACAGAUGGUGCUGGCUAUGCCAGUAGUGUACUGAGAUUUGAUUGGCUGGCAGGGUACUGAAGACGCUAUAAGAGAUCUACACCAGGGGUGUCACUCAUUCCAUAGAGAGCCUAGUGUCUGUGGGUUUGGGGUUUUCCUUUCAGUUAAGGCUUAGACAACCAGGUGAUGGAGUGACCUUAACUCGUCAAUCAAGUACAGGGAGCAGUGAAAACCUGCAUACACUGCCCUUCGUGCAAUGAGUGACACGCAAUCUACAUCUUGUUUUUGAGUUAAUGGGCCAGGAUGUAUAUUGAAGACUGACGUAGAUCUUGCCCUGUGGUGAGUAAAAUAUUAUUUUUAAUCUGAGGGCCAAACAUGUCUUUGAUCUGCAAAUGUGCACGAAACUGGAGUUGUGAUUGAGUUCUACAUUUUGCCAUUUACCCUUCAGACUAAAUUGGGAUGCUGAGAGAGACUUCCUGAACUACAGUAUAAUUGCUUGCAUAUUUUGCCUAACUACAAUCAAAUGAUAGUCAUGCUAAUAGACUGUUCUCUCCUAGAUUGGGUUUGAUGAUCCAGUAUGUGGAAUAUGAAGACUUACACUCACCAUAGGGUUGAGAUUUGAGGGCUAAAUAGCCAAUUGGUUUCCUUCAGUCUUCUACUGGAGUUGUGAUGACUUCUCACUUUUGCUGUUUACUGAUCUGACUAAAUUGGGAUGCUGUGACUAACUGAACUGCCAAUAUUAGCAUUGAUCAUUACAGGUAGACGCAGCAGCGAUAUGGUAAAGGGGAUAGUGGGUCAAUUUCCACAACAGAGUGAAGCGUGUGCAUCUUGCUUAGCUCAAUAUCUGCGGUGCACCUCGUGGCAGGGGCAUUUUGCAGGGUCUACCUUCAAUCAUUAAACCUGCAAUCCCUGA